rnacentral:rRNA from 1 species
AACGAACGCUGGCGGCAUGCCUAACACAUGCAAGUCGAACGAGACCUUCGGGUCUAGUGGCGCACGGGUGCGUAACGCGUGGGAACCUGCCCUUAGGUUCGGAAUGACUCCCCGAAAGGGGUGCUAAUACCGGAUAAUGUCUUCGGACCAAAGAUUUAUCGCCUUUGGAUGGGCCCGCGUUGGAUUAGCUAGUUGGUAGGGUAAAAGCCUACCAAGGCGACGAUCCAUAGCUGGUCUGAGAGGAUGAUCAGCCACACUGGGACUGAGACACGGCCCAGACUCCUACGGGAGGCAGCAGUGGGGAAUAUUGGACAAUGGGCGAAAGCCUGAUCCAGCAAUGCCGCGUGAGUGAUGAAGGCCUUAGGGUUGUAAAGCUCUUUUACCCGGGAUGAUAAUGACAGUACCGGGAGAAUAAGCUCCGGCUAACUCCG